UUCUCCUUCUCCUCUUCCUUCUCCUUCCCUUCUCCUCCUCCUUCUCUCUCUUUCCCCCUUUCUCCCUCUCUUCUUCUCAUUCUUCCCCUUCUUUUCCUUCGUUUCCUCCUCCUCCUCCUCUCAAAUUUAGUUUUCCACAGAAUCCGCUGUCCUUUGGAAUUUUUUUUUCUUUUUUCUUUUUUUUUUUUGCUUAGUAUCUGUUCAUUUCUCCCAGAAUCAUAGUUUGGAAUUAAUGUCCAAAUAGUAGUUAAUCAGAUGAUAGAGAUUAAAGUGAAGGGAGGGCAUACACUGGAAUAGCAAAAUAUAUCUGCAGUGAAACCCAGUGAACAGAAUACUUCAUGUUAGGUUCAAGUAUUGGAGGAAAAACAAAUACUUUCAUUAAAAUCAAAGCUACUUUUCAGAAUCUCAUUAUAUUCUUUUAAUGAGAAAUGUAUUUGUUGGUUGUCUUGUCGUCUUUGACUCUUAAAAUGUAACCAAGCAAAAAGUGCCUAAGAAUGUGAUGGCUACAUUGCCUUUAACUUAACUUCGUUAGUAGCAGAGGUUCCAUGAGUUAUGAGUACUCUGCUCUGUGAAUGUCUCCAUUUUUGAGGUGCCUUUGUGCAGUAUUGAUAGGAACCAUUCCUGGGCUCCACUUACAGACUUCUGUUGGUGAACAGGAUCUUACAAAGCAGAACAGAAGUUUGUGAUAAGGAAGAGGAUGAAGAGAGCAGGUCCUUGUGUUCUUCAGAAACAGUGAACAUUAUCCUACUGAUUUUGGACAAAGGGAGUUCUCCAAGUAGGAAGUGACACAGAACGUAUCACAGUGCCUUUCCAUUCCAGGUUUUUGGUAAUGAGUAAUGAAUGAAUCCCAUGAGAGCAGAGCCCUGUGGAGCAGGUGGCAAAUGUUGCUCUCUGACUACAGUUCUCUGCUUAGGGAUGCUAACAUAGACUGCCUCAGAUGCAGGCAGGGUGUCCACACUGAUCAGGCAUGGCUUUGCAUUAACAUCUGUAGUGCCGUCUACUUGUGCAGUGAGAUACUAGGAUAUACAACAGAAUAGGUGCUGGAAGAGGUGUCCACUACAGUGUGGACAGACUCUUUGGAUCUGUAUUAAUAACAGCCUCUCCCAUGGAUUAGCUAGUCCAGGCUUUGGUGCUUUAUUUCCUCCCAGAAUAAUGGAGUGUGUACUCCUUAGCUAUUUGUAGCACCAAGAAAAUUAAUCCAGAUGUCAUCUUUUUCUUUUUUUCUCCUCUAGUGUGGCUGGAUACUUGGCAGGGCACACAAUCACAUGGUCUUCAGAUCUUCUAAAAGCUGAUUUUCCUGGGCCUAAUCCCAUGAGAGUUGGAGACAGUCUAUGAUAAUUACUGAUUCAGCUCCUGCUGGUGUUGAACUUACUGAGAAACUUAAACAAGAAUUAAAAUACACACCCACACACGCCUCAGAUGGAGCCAAACACUAAACCAGAUUAGUCUUUUGUGGUUACCUUUUCUUUAGGAUUAGGAGGAUCAGAAAGCAAGAGCAGAUUCUGAAACACUGUAACCCCAUUCCCCACUGGGUCAUAAGAGGCUGGUGCUCUUGAGGACGAAGGUUGGCAGCAGGUGCCAACUAGGUACUGGCUUGUGGUCCCAGCAGAGCUGGCCUGCCACAGCCCAAGCUUCUUGUUUUGGUUGAAAAAUGGGUCUUUUGGCCUUUCAUGCCUGGACAUUCUCUGGAACUCAGAUGUUUGUGAACCAGGUUCAAGGACAUUCUCUGGAACUCAGAUGUUUGUGAACCAGGUUCAAGGACUCUCAAGUUCAAGUCACUGGCAGAUUGGAGAGAAGACCUAGAAGUCUAAGUGUCUGAGGUAAUGAGAGGAGGGACGCAAAGCCUCAAUGAGACUGCAAAGUCACCUGAAUGGGAAAGCUUGCCCUAUUGCUGGCCUCAGCAAUGGCACCUUCAGGUUGUCCCCUGUACGGGUUGAUGAGGGAGCGGAGGACCCCAGGUCUCUUCUUAGUGUCAGCCGUGGCCACAGGUUUCGAUGAAAUUUAGUAUGUUGAUUAGGAGCGUGCCAAAAUCAGAGCAACUCCCCUCCCAAGGGGACGUUCAGUUUUCAGUUGUUAAAAAUACACCCUGAGACAGAAAUUUCAGGACACUUAAGUGACUUUGAAAUCCAUCCAAAGGUUACUCUGUUCCUUCACUCCACACAUCUCAGGCAUUUCCAUGUUGGUCUCAGCUGCCAUGUCAAUGGUUUAUUCUUUUUACAUGUUGGAGCAGAUCUGGACCUCCCAAAACAUUUUGGGGAGAAGUAGACUUAGAGGGGUUUUCCCUGCUCUGUGAGAGAAGGAAUUUAGCAAGCAUUAAUUUUUCUAAGAAGGUGGCACAAGUUUUGAUGUGAUGUGCUGGAAAAUAGUAAUAGUCACAAUUUAUCGUAUUCCCCCAAGAGAAUGGAAUGAUGUUCCCAUAGAAUCUUGCUCAUCCUGUUAGCAAUAACUUAUAUUCUCUUUCUGAUUCACACCAACAAGGAGCAGAGGGUGUUGGUGGGGGAAAUGAUACGGGGAAAUACAGUUUGUUUUUUGCAGGGAUUCAGAAUGUGUCUCUGGACUUCAAGAUAGGAAGAAUGUUUGCCUAAAGGCUGAUGAUAGUAACCACCCCACCCACCAUCAUCUAUUAAGGAUUUACUGUGUGGUCACUUUACAGUCAUCCAAGUAAAUUUCCAUAAUCACCUGAUAAGAUGGGUAUGGCUUUUCAGAAAAAGAAACAUUUCUGGAGGGUAAGUAACACAAAUCAUACAGCUGAGCCAUCUGUCUGCAUCUCAAGCAUCCAGGCAGCAUUCGGCCUCUGUGGGUGUUGUCAAAUGUGCUGGUCUCUGUUAACUCAGGGUUUUGGAUUAAUUGGUGGAGCUGCUCAUUUCCAUAAACACCCAGGAUGCAGUCUGCAGCCUCUAUUUAAAGUGAGGUCCUUGGACGAGCAGCCCGGCAGCACCCAGCAGCUUGUCAGCAUUGCAGAACAUCAGGCACUCCCUGGAGCUACAGCACCAGAUCCCCAGGCAGGCGCACGUGCAUCCAAGUUUGAGCCGCACUGCCUUCUGCUACUACGGAGGAAUCUGACAGGGGAGAGCUGCUACCUCACUUCAGCAAUGGAAAAUGUUGCUGUAAAUCCCAUUAGACCAGCCAGUUCCUCACGACCCUUUAAAACUGAAAACUGGUCAGUAUAGUUUUACAUUCCUUUUCUUUUCCUUAAAACUGUGCCCUUUAAGAAGGCAACUUUUAAAACAUACAGGAGGGUGGCUCUGCUGUGUGUUCAUCCUGUAACACUUGUCGUCAAAGGCAAAGCUCCUGAAACACCUUCUCUGGUCAACCAUGGCGGGCAAGCAGACGCCUGGGCUCGGCCUCGCAGAGCACAAAGGUGGACCCAGAACCCACUGUCCUCAGCGCAGGCGCAGGAGUUAAAGUAACAACACAUCAGAAGGUGACGUCAAGCACACUGAAGAGAUGGAUGAUUUGGUGUCUUACAUUUUCUGGUCCCUCCAAAAUGUCUAAUAUAGACAGCUUUGUGACAGUCUUUUGAGAAGAAUUAUAAUUGGCCAGACAGAAUGACAUUUUUUUUUUCUUUUUAUACACGAUCUCGAAAAUGUGUCAUUUAGAUUCUGCCUUGGGCUGAGCUCUGACAGGUUACAAAACCUGUCAGUUUGGGGAUUUUAGUGCAGAUAUUUUUUUAAAAAUUAAACUCUGGUAAGUACUCAGGAGGCUGAGAACACAGGCCCCUUCUCUCCCCUGAUCCUCUGUAUGCAGGCUAGGACUUAAGCGAGCCCCUUUAUGUUUGGCUAGUGCCACAACAAAACAGCCCCAAACAGGUUGCCAUGAGCAUGCUGGCCUGGCUUGGUAUUUGAUGAUAAAAUCUGAGACUGGUAAGUGCAGUCAGUGUUCAGGAAACAAUCUCCAGGCUCUUCUCCCAUCACCUGGUUUUAAAAUCAGCCUUCAUACAGCUGCUUACCAUCUCUCUGUCCUCUGCAGAUGACCCGGUCCUAGGCAGGGACCAAAAUUCCUUGUCAGCUGAGGAAGUCCUGAAGGAACACCCUGAAGAUGAUGACUGCACUGCCAUUGUGGGCAGAUGCACCUUCUAUCUACCUGAGGGCUGAAGGGGAAAACCUUUCACACACGUGAGGAAGGCGCAGCUCUGUGGAAAGGUCACCAGAAUGGCAGCGGCAGCAAAUAGGGCUCCAAUGCACGUUCGCACUUAACUGGGUCCAAGGAGAGCACGGCCCUCCACAGCAAGUUUGCUCUAUAGAAUAAAGUCCUGAGCUUGUUUUUAUCACAGUUAGACAGAGAAUGGUCUCAUGUUUCUCAGUUAUCCAGGGAAGACCAGUGUAUAUUCUCUGUAGAUGAGUGUUGUCUAAUGUAGUGAUUCAUCUCUGCUAGUGUUAGGAAAGCUCCACUACUGUGUGUGUGUGUGUGUGUGUGUGUGUGUAUGUGUGUGUGUGUGUCUGCAUGCAUGCGCAUGUGCACACACUGCAAUCUUGACUUUCCAAUUACAAAAUGCCUAAGUCAGGUCACAUUGUCUUCUUCCAGCCAGUUUCUAAGGCAGGCAAUGGAAACGGGAGCCGAUGCCAAAAGGUCUAGAGGCAGAAGGGCCGCAUGCUUUGCAGGGCCAGCUCCAAGGCUGCCUUCCAGAGCUGCUCUUUCUCAGGGGAGAGUAAACUCUCACUGCAGCUGCCAGCCCCCUGUGCUCGGGCGGGGGUUGCCCCUCACAUGGACUUGGAAUCCGUGUCUCUCUUGCUGAUGAGCACCUCCAGGAGCCUCAGUUUCGCCUUUAUGUGCUUGUAUUCACUGUAUUCUUCAGCCAUAGGAGUGCGGUCUUCCUUCUGGACAUUUCUAAUGCAAAUAAAGGAAAAAGGGGUCUGAGGAUCAUUUUCUGUCUUUGCUACAUACUCUUCAUCGGGCAAAUUAUCAUUGUGUGUAGAAACUUUGCAGUUUAUCAGCUUGUAAGAUCAGUGUGGCCAAGUGGCCCUUGGUCUUAAGACUGGAGCUGGAUUUAGACAAAUAAUGAAAAUGUUUCACCCAGAAGGCAUCAUGCAACUGAGUUUUUAUAUAAUUAAUCUGGCAUCUUGUAUGACAAGAAGGCUAAGAAAUGCAGCCAUUCUCUCUGCUAAGUAUGAAUUCACAUUGAGCUCAUACACCAGAAUCCUUUAUUGAUAAUUAAUGUUUUCUCAUUCUUAUAUAUUUCAUCUUGUGAACUUUUAAAUUUUUAAUUAGCAACUAGUCCACCCACAACUUAGUGUUUUUUUUUUUUUUUCAAAAACAGAUAGUACUCUUGCUUUCAUAAAACAGUCUUAGAAUUCAGCAGCUGGAUUGCAUAAUACUAUUAUAAUAAGCCUUUAUAGUUUGAGUAACUUUCCAUGCAUCAUAUUUAUAUGCACAAGUAUUCGAGAGCUUAUAGGUCAAGCCCUCUGCUAAGUACUUUGUACCCAUGAUCUAAUAUAACCCUUAUAACACCUUGAUGAGACGGAGCCAUUUCUAUACUACACAUGUUGAAACCAGCACAGGAAAUCAGGUAACUUGCCUGCUCUUGGCCACCAUGCGGUGCACGCUGCUGCUUUGCGUUUUAUGGGAAAUUGCACAUGGCCAACAUUCAAACGUAGGCUUCCUGCCUUUAUUAUUAAAGGGCAAAUGUGGGUAAGGAGGAUAGCAUGGGGCUUAAAUUGUUCAAUGAAUUAAAAACAAACCAAUCUUAUUCAUACCCCGCCUUGUUCUAGGAAAGGAUUCUAGUGGUUUCUCAGGGGGCAGGGUAAGGAACAGGUGCUCAGGAAUUGGAGCAUCUGGAAUGCAGGCGCCCGCUGUACUCUGAGGGCCUUCACUCUCCUCAGACAUGAAGUCAUGGAACCAGAGCUUAUCUCCAAGUCCCUCAUAGUUCUAAACGUUUUUGACAAUUAAGUUAACGUCCUCCAUUGACAUUUUCUUAAAACCUGGGCGUUGCAUAAUUCUACAUGGUUCCUCAUGUAUAAGACAUCCGUGCAUAACGUGACUUAGAAUAUAAAAAAGGAUAACCAAAAAAUAGGCUUAGAUGAAAGAUUGGAAAGAUACACAUCAAAACAUUAAUUCUGAUUUGUCUUUGGUUAUUAUUUUGGGAAUUGCUACUUAAAUUUGCUUACCUAUAUUUUCUAAAUACUCUGCAGUGGGGGGAAAUGAAAAGGAAAUGUUUAGGUAUAAAAAUAUGAGACAUGUCCAAAUCACAGAUCCUAAAAGUAAAUUUACACAAUAAUUGUUAAACUAAACUGAAAUACAAUGUAUUUUAAAUG